GUUGUUGGCUGUAGGGUCUGGUAUGGCCUGAGCCAUUGGUCCUGCGCCGAGAUGCUUCAGAGCAUUAUUAAAAAUGUUUGGAUCCCUAUGAAGCCCUACUAUACGGAAGCUUACCAGGAGAUUUGGAUGGGAAUGGGGUUGAUGAGCUUCAUCAUGUAUAAGAUCAGGAGUGCUGAUAAAAGAAGUAAAGCUUUGAAAGCUCCUGCACCUGCUCAUGGUCAUCACUAACCAGCUUUCCUUGGAGCACACAUGAGAUGAAACACCAGUCCGCCUGUAAAUCUGAGCAAGCCAU